rnacentral:rRNA from 1 species
CGGCACGGGUGAGUAACACGUAUGCAACCUGCCUGCCACAGCCGGAUAAUCGGGAGAAAUUCCGUCUAAUACGGCAUAAUGCAUCGACGGGACAUCCUGUUGGUGCCAAAGGUUGAUUCCGGUGGCGGAUGGGCAUGCGUCGCAUUAGUUAGUUGGCGGUGUAACGGACCACCAAGACGACGAUGCGUAGGGGUUCUGAGAGGGAGGUCCCCCACACUGGUACUGAGACACGGACCAGACUCCUACGGGAGGCAGCAG